AAUUUUUCAGAAGCAUCUUCGUAAAGACGUUCAUAAGUGUGUAUAAAAUUAAGCUCGAAAAAUCUGUGUUUUUCUCAGGGUGAACUGGUCACUGUGAAGAUACUGACAUACCAGAUGAGUACUCAAUGCUUUAAAAAACUUAUUUAUACAUACUGUCAGUCAGUUGAGACUGAAAAUCCUGAUGGCUGUUUUAUGUACCAUAACACAUUUUUCUACUAAGACAAUCCUAAAGGACACUUCACAACAAAGUAUACAGUCACAAGAUGAAAGGACAAUGAAACAUUAUUUAUGAGCAGUAUGUAUAUAGCACCAUCAACACAGGUUUAAAUGCAUAUUUAUAAUAUGCAGGCAACUUGUGGCAUUAAAUCUCGUUCCUCUUUUGUGUGCUUCAGUGGACAGUUCAAUGACAAGUGUCUGAUUGUUUCUCCUGCUUCUUAUUUAUAACAGCUAUCAACACAUUGUAGUGCCAUACAAUUGUAAUAG